CUGGUGCUUACUAAAAUUAUUAUCCUUGCU
rnacentral:piRNA from 1 species